rnacentral:misc_RNA from 1 species
UAAAAAUUUUCAAAUAAAAGGUUUCCUCUAAUUUUUCCUCGAAAUUAGAGUGGCGACCCUUCACUUUCCACGUCGGUGAGAAUUGCCUGAUGACUGCAAAAACGUUUGCAACAUGUGGAUUUCCUUGAAUGUCUAAGUCAAGAAUUUGAGUGUAGACCUUUCUCUUGCCCAUGAGAAUCCUUCGUCAAGCAUUACUUGUUUGGGUGUGGGAUUGUGUAUGCGCAAGUCAUGUCUACACUAGUAUAUAUCUUUAGAUUUGUGUCACAAGGUAGAGUAAGUCAAAUUUUUAUCUCAUCCUGUUCCAUGGUAGAUUUUGAAGUUCUUGGAUAAUUCAGUUAUGGUUUGUCAUGUUUUCAGAUUAAAAUUUUCCAUUAUUUUCAGAUUAAAAUUGCUUGGGAGGAUGAUCG